GAGCAUGACAUACUCCAGUUAAAUCGCGACCUUUGUUUGGCACAAGUAACAUGACAUACUCCAGCUCAACUGUUAAUUAAUCUGUAGAUUGACUCAUUUUCAAUGUCAAAUGCUGCACUUCCAAGGAGCAUUAAGGAUCAUGAGUGAAUUAUAUGGCUGGGUGACCUUAAUUACCGCUUUAAUUUGUCGUACGAGGAAACAUGCGAUUUGAUUUCCAAAAAUGCAUUGCUAGAGAGUGAUCAACUAAGACUAGGAGGUGUGUUUGACGGGUAGACAGAAGGCGCAUUAAAUUUUCCACUGACUUACAAAUACGAGCCGAAUUCAGAUAAAUAUUAUGGCGAGGAUCCUAGAGUUGAAAGGCGUACGCCCACAUGGGGUUGAUGUUGGGCACCAGUUCUUUUCACCAUGUGACAUGGUUACUGUAGGUUUUCAUAACCACUGGCUCAGUGGAAUUGAUUACAUUGGGGCAAGUUUUCAACAGGUGUGGUUUCCAGCAACGGAACCGUUGGAUGUCAUGUCGGCAAACAGGGGUGGUUUGCGCGGUGGAAAGAGAUAGUUAGAUACCCGGAAAGGGUUGGUGAAGUUGGGAGGGUAAUCGGGUGAGGUCGGAGACGGGUGAGACUUCGGGUCAACUGUGGUUAACGCAAGUAAACCGAGUCAGAUUUGGUGCUUUAAGAUUUCAA